rnacentral:rRNA from 1 species
AGAGUUUGAUCAUGGCUCAGAGCGAACGCUGGCGGCAGGCUUAACACAUGCAAGUCGAGCGGGCGUAGCAAUACGUCAGCGGCAGACGGGUGAGUAACGCGUGGGAACGUACCUUUUGGUUCGGAACAACACAGGGAAACUUGUGCUAAUACCGGAUAAGCCCUUACGGGGAAAGGUUUAUCGCCGAAAGAUCGGCCCGCGUCUGAUUAGCUAGUUGGUGAGGUAAUGGCUCACCAAGGCGACGAUCAGUAGCUGGUCUGAGAGGAUGAUCAGCCACAUUGGGACUGAGACACGGCCCAAACUCCUACGGGAGGCAGCAGUGGGGAAUAUUGGACAAUGGGCGCAAGCCUGAUCCAGCCAUGCCGCGUGAGUGAUGAAGGCCCUAGGGUUGUAAAGCUCUUUUGUGCGGGAAGAUAAUGACGGUACCGCAAGAAUAAGCCCCGGCUAACUUCGUGCCAGCAGCCGCGGUAAUACGAAGGGGGCUAGCGUUGCUCGGAAUCACUGGGCGUAAAGGGUGCGUAGGCGGGUCUUUAAGUCAGGGGUGAAAUCCUGGAGCUCAACUCCAGAACUGCCUUUGAUACUGAGGAUCUUGAGUUCGGGAGAGGUGAGUGGAACUGCGAGUGUAGAGGUGAAAUUCGUAGAUAUUCGCAAGAACACCAGUGGCGAAGGCGGCUCACUGGCCCGAUACUGACGCUGAGGCACGAAAGCGUGGGGAGCAAACAGGAUUAGAUACCCUGGUAGUCCACGCCGUAAACGAUGAAUGCCAGCCGUUAGUGGGUUUACUCACUAGUGGCGCAGCUAACGCUUUAAGCAUUCCGCCUGGGGAGUACGUCGCAAGAUUAAAACUCAAAGGAAUUGACGGGGCCCGCACAAGCGGUGGAGCAUGUGUUUAAUUCGACGCACGCGCAGACCUUACAGCCCUGACAUCCCGGUCGCGGACUCCAGAGACGGAGUUCUUCAGUUC